GAAACUCCAGUCCAUAGUCAGGGAUGUAAAGAAAAUGAAAACUGGAAAACUGCAAGCUUUUGAAAUGCAGGUGUGAAUAUGAAGUCUGAAGGACAGCCUGAGGCUUGGUGAUGAAGGAUCAGAAACGUGGUGUUUUGAUGGGUUGUUCGUAAGUCCUAGGCUCUAAGAGAAGAGCAUGUGGUGCAUGGAUCUUUAUCCCCAGGUUGACCAGUGAUUAAGGAUCAGCAACAACACUGUGCCACAAGCACUGAAGAUGAAAGACCGUUGAUAUAAGGAUGAACAGCAAAAGCUGGAAGAUGAUGUUGUUGUUCUUGCAAGGAGACAGCCAGCAGAACAACCAGCCUUACAGCCUGCCUUGCUGCCCUAGAAAAAUGGAGAGAAGGGACAGGGUACUCCUGCCAGCACAGCAGCUCUGCCCCAUACCCCAGCCUCUGUCUGGGAACAGCAAGUGCUUCUGGCCUUCCAGGAGCACUGCCAAGAGGGCAGCUGCAGCAGUAUUGCCCAGCGGGGCCUAGUUUGCUCUGCUGUGCCUCCAAGCAGCUAGGAAAGGCAGGGAAGCCUUCAGGUCUCCACAGAGCCCAUCUCCUGCCCUCUGUGAGCAGAGACCUUCCUGCUCAGCACCAUCACUGAGCACCGCGCUUGGAUUUCACAGAGAAUCAGAGCUGCAAGAAAAUCCUGCCAGAGGGCAGCAAAACCCUACAAUUAUUUGUUCUUGAAUCGCAGCAUGCAGUUUUGAACUGCAGUAUUAAGUCUGCCCUGUGAGUGCUGUGCCACCUCCUGCCCUUCAGCUCCCAGGAUGCAUCCCAGGUUUCAGUGAGGCCUUCCCACACAGGGCCUGUGCGCUUUGAUUUUCGCAGGCAAAGUCACAGCAAGCAGAAGAAACAUCUGCCGUGGGGGACUUUAACGGAAAGAUAUUUGUGGCUGCUGCAUUGUUAAGGAGGAAGCCAUUGCCAUUUCAUAUUCCUGUGUGAGCACAUGGUAGGCUUCUGACCCCAGACUGCUGGCAGCAUUCAGCCACCACAGACACACACACACUCCAGAAGGGGCAGGUGCUCCAGUCACUGUUUUCAGCAUGUAGGAAGGAAGCCCCAUGCCCAGGAUCUUCUCAGCAUUUCUCCCUUCAUCCAGGCUUUUCAGAUCUGCUUUUACGUGUCCAGAAUGACAUCACACACUGAAACAUUCUUCUGUAUCUAUCCUAACUGACAAAAAGCAGGAUGAGUGUACCCAAUUAUACCCCUUCUGCUGAUAUUUUCUUCUGUAAACUAUGCCAGUACAGAGGCCGCCCAUCCUGGUGUCCAGCUGUGUGCCCAGUGAGCAGCCACUCCCAGCAGAGAGCAGAAAGUGGGAGAUAUAUGUCUUUGUUGGACAGCACGCAGCUCUUGCUAGGACUAGUGAAACUGCCUUAAAAUAGAUGGUUCAGAACUGGAUGGUGUAUGAAACCUUCCUUGUUUUUUGGCUUGCUUUCUGAGGCAUUUCUUGCGAUAAGAAUCUGACUUAGAUGAGAGAUGGGUGUUGCCGUGUGGCAAUCGACAUCACUGCGUGGACAAUUUUACGUUUGAAAGCACCUUCCUCCAAAGCUGCUUGCCUCUGGAAGAGAGUGCUCAGGAGUGGUUACUGGCAGAAGAUGUGGCCUGUGACUAAAUAGCCCCAGCUUGGUAUAGGAAAACUGGGAAAUGGUACCAUCGUGCCCUGUGAAAAACAGGAUGCAGAUGGACAUCCCUGCUCCCUCUUAUCUGCUGGCAAGGCCCGGAAGAUGAUGACAAAGCAGUUUCUGUGCCAGAUCCCAGAGCCAGUAGCUGCCACUCCAAGGAGAGCUGACUCAAUCACUUCGGAUUCGAACUGUCACUCAAAAGAGAGCUGACUCGACCACUUUGGACUUACAAAUAAGUUUUUACUGCCAUUGCAAUCGUCGUCAUCGUUGUCGUCUUGUUAUUGUCAUCAUCGUCACCAUGGACACCGUUAUCAACAGAACAACAAUACCCGAAGACCCACCACUACUGAAGAUCAAUGACUGAAGUACAAACCACAUUGGACCAUGGUGGUGACUAUCUCCC
ensembl:lncRNA